rnacentral:tRNA from 1 species
GCUGUAGCUCAGUGGUGCAGUGCCUGCCUGGCAAGCAGGAGGAUCUGAGUUUGAUUCCCAGUAGC